rnacentral:lncRNA from 1 species
AAGUAACAAGGCCUAUCGUCAGUUGGUUAGAGAGAGAGAUAGAUACAUAGAGAUAUAGAGAGAGAGACCUGCAUGUUACAUUUGAGAAGGUAGAGAGAGAGAUCUGCAUGUUACAUUUGAGAAGGUAGAGAGAGACCUGCAUGUUACAUUUGAGAAGGUAGAGAGAGAGAGACCUGCAUGUUCCAUAUGAGAAGGUAGAGAGAGAGACCUGCAUGUUACAUUUGAGAAGGUCGAGAGGGGUGACUCCAGCAUGAGUGAGGCCGCAGCUGAGAAGGCCUCCAACCAUGCAAACAACGUAAAAAUCGAGUGAGAACAUCAUCUCUCUCU